CCUACGGGUGGCAGCAGUGGGGAAUAUUGCACAAUGGGGGAAACCCUGAUGCAGCGACGCCGCGUGAGCGAUGAAGUAUUUCGGUAUGUUAAGCUCCUUCAGCAGGGAAGAAGAUGACGGUACCUGACUAAGAAGCCACGGCUAACUACGUGCCAGCAGCCGCGGUAAUACGGAGGGGGCAAGCGUUAUCCGGAUUUACUGGGUGUAAAGGGAGCGUAGACGGCGAUGCAAGUCAGAUGUGAAAGCCCGGGGCUAAACCCCGGGACUGGAUUUGGAACUGGGUGGCUGGAGUGUAGGAGAGGCAGGCGGAAUUCGUAGUGUAGCGGUGAAAUGCGUAGAUAUUAGGAGGAACACCAGUGGCGAAGGCGGCCUGCUGGACGAUGACUGACGUUGAGGCACGAAAGCGUGGGGAGCAAACAGGAUUAGAUACCCGUGUAGUC
rnacentral:rRNA from 1 species